rnacentral:sRNA from 1 species
UACUUGCCGAAACUUCAAAAUACAUCGAAGUGCGGGGGAUGCUUUUCGACAGAAAGGCCUUUUUGGCUUUCUGUAUGGGGUGAAUCGCUUUUGCAAGCGUAGGGUUGUAUCCUCAAUCCGAAUCCGACAACUAACCUCGUAGGGCAAAAAAAAG